GGGGAUUGGCUCAGUUGGCUAGAGCACCGGCUUUGCAAGCCGGGGGUCGAGGGUUCGAGCCCCUCAUUCUCC
rnacentral:tRNA from 1 species